AAGGAUCAUUAACGAGUUUUGAAACGGGUUGUUGCUGGCCUUCCGAGGCAUGUGCACGCCCUGCUCAUCCACUCUACACCUGUGCACUUACUGUAGGUUGGCGUGGGUUUCUGGCCUCCGGGUUGGAAGCAUUCUGCCGGCCUAUGUACACUACAAACUCUUAAAGUAUCAGAAUGUAAACGCGUCUAACGCAUCUU
rnacentral:misc_RNA from 1 species